UACGAAGGAUGCAAGCGUUAUCCGGAUUUAUUGGGUUUAAAGGGUGCGUAGGCGGCUUAUUAAGUCAGUGGUGAAAGCCCGGAGCUCAACUCUGGAAUUGCCAUUGAUACUGAUGAGCUUGAGUACACUUGAGGUAGGCGGAAUGUGUCAUGUAGCGGUGAAAUGCUUAGAUAUGACACAGAACACCGAUUGCGAAGGCAGCUUACUAAAGUGUAACUGACGCUGAGGCACGAAAGCGUGGGGAUCAAACAGG
rnacentral:rRNA from 1 species